rnacentral:lncRNA from 1 species
UAGGGUGGUCACUCGCGUAGCGCGACGCCUAAGGGGGUACCCCCUCGCGCUACGCGACGGUGUCAAAAUUUCAGUAUAAAUAGCAGGGGUUGGGACUUGAAUUUUGGCACUUGAACGACGAAAAUCGGAGUUACGUAGGUCGAGUUAUAAGCAAAACAGUCCAACACACACACACAAUUAUCGAAUCGCUGCCGCAAAACAGGGUAAUUAGUCGAUCGCUAUUACGAUUCAGUUUCCGGGAUCAAUAUACCCAAAGAAUGUCUAAGUGCCGCCCACAUUGGGCUAUGCUUUAUCGUUGUCGAUAAUUCGAUAAUGAGCCGAAGCAUUGUACUUUGUCGUUGUCGAUAAUUCGAUAUACGAGUUGAAGUACUAUACUUUGUCGUUUGUCAUUUUGAUAAAUGAGCUGAAGUAUUGCACUUGGACAUUCAUUGUAAAAAAUUGAUCUCGGGGAAUUAUCGUAACUGCUGUAUUGAUCAUUAACCUGGUUCUUGUAGAAUUCGUUAAGAGUUGAUUUAGGUUUUUCACCAAUACGUAUUCCAUUCUGUUAAACUACCAAGAAUACUCCCAACUACACCCUUACAAUCAAACAAACUAUUAAAUCAUCAGAAGAUCCAGAAUAAUAAAGUACAUGCUUAAUUAUCGGGAAAAGUAGAAUCAAGAAGUUUAUUAACUCAAUCCUGCAUGAUGAUUUGUAAUUACAAUAGAUUGGAGCAAGGAUUGGAUCCGACACUGAAGGACUUCAAGAAGUGGCUUAUUUUCAAAUUAAGAAAUAUUGUUUUUAUUAAAAGCUACCUUUGUAAAACAUGGAAUUUAUUCCAUCUUUUUAAAUAA